rnacentral:rRNA from 1 species
GAUGAACGCUGGCGGCGUGCCUAAUACAUGCAAGUCGAGCGAACAGACGAGGAGCUUGCUCCUCUGACGUUAGCGGCGGAAGUGUGAGUAAAACGUGGAUAACCUACCUAUAAGACUGGGAUAACUUCGGGAAACCGGAGCUAAUACCGGAUAAUAUAUUGAACCGCAUGGUUCAAUAGUGAAAGACGGUUUUGCUGUCACUUAUAGAUGGAUCCGCGCCGCCUUAGCUAGUUGGUAAGGUAACGGCUUACCAAGGCCACGAUGCGUAGCCGACCUGAGAGGGUGAUCGGCCACACGGGAACGGAGACACGGUCCAGACUCCGAAGGGAGGCAGCAGUAGGGAAUCUACCGCAAGGGGCGAAAGCCUGACGGAGGAACGCCGCGAGAGUGAGGAAGGUCUUCGGAUCGUAAAACUCGGUUAUUAGGGAAGAACAAAUGUGUAAGUAACGAUGCACGUCUUGACGGUACCUAAUCAGAAAGGCACGGCUAACUACGUG